ACAGAGAGGAGCAGCUCUGAUUUCCUGCUGGGAUGCCCAGGAUGCAGCUGAUCCUGGGCUCUGCCCUGCCUGCCUCAGCACCCCCUGCCCUGCUGCCCCUCUGGGCACCAUGCCCUGCAACUCCACACCUGCCCAAAACGCUUCUGCCCCUCAGGUAGCUCUGAAUUUGUCCAGAAAGGACAAGGAAAGGCUGAUUCCAUGUUUAACUAGUUCAGAAUUUGUUUUAAAAAGGACAAGAAAAUUCAGAUUUCAUGUUUAGGUAGCUCAGAAUUUGUUUUAAAAGGACAAGGAAAGGCAGAUUUCAUGUUUGGGUAGCUCAGAAUUUGUCCAGAAAGGACAAGGAAAGGCAGAUUUCAUGUUUAGAUAGCUCAGAAAUUGUUUUAAAAGGACAAGGAAAGGCAGAUUUCAUGUUUAGGUAGCUCAGAAAUUGUUUUAAAAGGACAAGGAAAGGCAGAUUUCAUGUUUGGGUAGCUCAGAAUUUGUCCAGAAAGGACAAGGAAAGGCAGAUUUCAUGUUUUAGACUGGUUAAGUUGAGCUGGCUGUGGGCCCAGGCUUCACCUGGGACUGAGCCAGAGCUUGUGCUGAUUCCAAAGGUUUUCCCAACAGCCCUGACCCCCUUGGAAAAUGCUGCUUUGGAAAAUCCUCCUUGUGCAGGGCCACAGGCAGGAAUGGGAGGACACAAAUCUUCAUUUUUAAGUGGCUUUGCAGCUGUGAAGUCCAGGAAAAAAUCCUACUGAAGCUUACAUUAAAUUCCCAAAAAAAAUCUGUUUAAAAAGGCUUGACCUUGUCACCCAACAGGCUUUUAUUGGCACAGAUCUGAGGACAGGUUAAUUAACCUCUGAAAGGUUAAUUUUGGGGGUUAUCAGGCUGCAAAAUCCACAGGCAAAGGUUUUUUGCAGUCCUUGAAUCCUUCCCAUGUUAUGUGUGGAGUUGGAGUCAGCACUGAGUCGAGAUAUUCUCAUUAAAUCAAUGGAUAUCACAUAAUAUUGAGUUUAAUUAAGUAAUACAUGAGGAGCUGAGUCUAAAAGCAGACCUGCACUUCAUUGGCAUUCAGAUUUCGGUUUAAAAAAAAAAAAGUUUCCUCCAAGCCAAUAAAAAUUUUAGUUGAAUUUAGAAUAAAUACUUUCAAGUUAGUAUUUACAUACUCAAUACCAAGAUCUGGGGGUCAGAAUUUGUGGGGAAUUCAUUUUUACAUCCCCCACCCUUGUCUUUUUAAAAAUCCUGGUCAUCAAAGCAGUAUUUUUUUAAAAAAGGUGGAUAAACAGCAGUUUGUGUGCUGCAAAAGCUGAAAUAUCUGAUUCAAUGUAAGGGGCUAAACGGGUUUAGUUCCUGCAGAAUCACUCAAAACCUCAAGUGCGACAGGUAAUGAUUAGGGCUGAUCAAAAAUUUGUCAAAUAUAGUCAAAAUUUCAGGUGUUCAAAGAGGGGAAUACCAAAACUGGACUCAGAGUCUGUGAUGGAAGAGUUUUCUGCCAGAAUACAUCAGGCAAAAGUAUGGGAUCAAGUUUAAAACACAGGGAAUCUGUGGAUUAUCAAAGCAAAAAGUGGUUUUUCCUUAAAUAACUCCCAUUUUAUCAUGUUCAGGAGUGCACAGAUACCUGUGUCAACAUUUCCUCUGUUUGCUUUAAACUUGGAUCUGGUCUGGACUGGGAUAAAACCAAGAGCCAGCUGGUUCCUUUCUGGUUUUCCUUCUGCUCCUGGUGGGGUUUGUGGCACAUCCUUUUAAAUCCUGCUUUUCCAGCACUGGUCUGAAAUGUGAAUCCCAGGGCUGCUCCCAGCUGGUGGCUGCAGCAGAAUUUUAAUGGGAUUUUUGGGAACUUUUGGGUUUUUUUUUAACCAAAAUCUGAAUGCCAGUUUAGUGCAGGUCUGGUUUUAGGUUUAUUUCCUCAUGUGCUCCUUGAGUAACCUCAGUAUUUGUGUGCUGCUCAUUUAUUUAAUUUAUUUAAAUAAAUUUAACCCCUGUCAGUGGGCACGGGGCAGGGGUUUCACUGCAUUUCAUCCAGGGGAUUCCUGAGCUCCACAGCUGGGCAAACCAGGAGCACCUGAUCCUGCUUUUGGGUGAGCAGGGACAUCCUUCUCCCGUCCCAAAUGCCACGUGCAGCCAGGCUGGCAGGGACUUUGGGACACUGGGAAUUCCCAGGUGUUUCCCACACUGGGAUGUUUCCCAGGCUGGGCUCUCUGUGUUGGGAAUUCUCCAGGAGCACAGAGGUGAAAGCUGAGCAAGUCAGUGCUGAUAUUUAAAUCAAUAAAUAAAAUAUAUUCUCCUCCUAGUGCCACCUGUGCUGGGAGUGAGCCCCAAAAGGGGCAUCGGGCAGUGCAAAGGAGCCUGCCCUCAUUUCCAGCUGUCCCAGUUCCCACUCCCUGCAGAAUUCCAGCCUGCUUUGGGCUGGAAAGGGCCAUCCAGCUCCUCCCCCUGUCCCAGUGCUCCCAGCCCCAUCCAGCCUGGCCUUGGGCACUGCCCCAGCUGCUCUGUGCCCCCUGUGCCAGGGCUGCCCCUGGCUCUGCAGAAAUGCACAUUUCAGCUCCAUUCUGGGGAGCUGUCCUCACCCCUGGAGCUGCUCCCUGGCUGCCCAGCCUGCUCUGCAGAAAUGCACAUUUCAGCUCCAUUCUGGGGAGCCCCUGGAGCUGCUCCCUGCAGGUCACACCCAGGUGUUCCCACUCCUCCUAAACUCUGAAUAAAAUCACCUUUAACUCCUCUCAGACCCCCCAUUAUCCUGAAUUUUCCCCACACUGGAAGGCAGAAGCUCCUGGAUCAAUUCCAAAGUGAACUUUUCCUCUCAGAUGAGAUUCCUUGCUCCAUGUUUUCCAAGAGGGCAAGGAGUGCUUUUUUAAAUCAGUCAGGCUGGAAGCAAAUUGGACUUUAAUUGUCUGCUCCACUGAAGGCUUUUAAUGGUGAUACUUUUUAAAAUAGAUGUGUUUGUAAUUUAUUUUGGGAUUUUCUAGGAUCGUAAAGCUGGCACAGGCUGGGGCAGUGAAUAUUCCUUUAAAGCAGAUUUGUGUCAAAUCUGCAGUGGAACCACAGAGUUAUUUUUGUAUGCCUUGUAAACUCUGAAUUUUUGUUUUCUUGAUGAAAAAAAAAGUAAACUUUGUAUUUCCUACUGCUGUGGUUUGUACACAGAAUAACCAGAGUGAUGCUUUAUUUACCUGUAUAUAGCGAGAAAGGCCCCUGGCCUGUUUUUAAUUCAGGUUUAAAGGAUCUAAUUCUUAUUUUUAACUUUGUAUUUUUUAAAUUGUUCCUUAUAAAAGCAGAAGCAUUAAACACCACUUUGGCUACAGCAUGGAAUUGUCUGGUUGUGUUAUUCCAUGAAUGAUUUCUGAGGAAUAAAGGUCCACUUGGCAUCUUGACUGCCAAAAAAAGAUGGAAAAUCAAAAUAUUGGUGAUGACCAAAGGAGUAUAAACUCAACAACACAACACUGAUAAACUCCUCUGCAAACUGCUCAAAGUUCACAAAUCAAACCUUAUUUGCAUACAAAAAACACAUCAAGAGAGCAUGGAGGGCCAGAUUCUGUUCUCUUGAAGGUCUGCGGGCAGCACUUGCCCAUCCCUGCUGCUGCUGCUGUGGCCAGGGCUGGGCAGAGCUGCCUGCCCCAGAUCCACUCCUGCCUGGGAAGGUGUGGGACACCAGUGAGAAAAUUAUGGAGCACCUUGACAGCUGGCCUGCACGCAAAGCUGAGUUAACAGAAGAAAUAACAAUUUGAUGGUUUUCGAGUGUGUCCAUAGCAAGGAAGAAGACAAGGCCGUCAGCAUGGAAAUGGAUUAGAAAAGAUACAUGGACAUUUUUGUGAGCCAGGCUACGUGCAUAAGUAGAUGUGUAUUCGUGCCGUAUUAAAUUUCUGUAAAACUUUUGCCAAUUAUAUUGACGUUAAUUGCUCUGCACCAAUGAAUAUAAUAAGUUAUUGUGAUGUAAUUAAUGACUUAAGAUCACGCUUUGUUAAGAGUAUAUAAGCUGGAGAACACACAGAAUAAAAA